rnacentral:rRNA from 1 species
AACGAACGCUGGCGGCAUGCCUAACACAUGCAAGUCGAACGAGACCUUCGGGUCUAGUGGCGCACGGGUGCGUAACGCGUGGGAACCUGCCCUUAGGUUCGGAAUAACUCCCCGAAAGGGGUGCUAAUACCGGAUAAUGUCUUCGGACCAAAGAUUUAUUGCCUUUGGAUGGGCCCGCGUUGGAUUAGCUAGUUGGUAGGGUAAAAGCCUACCCAGGCGACGAUCCAUAGCUGGUCUGAGAGGAUGAUCAGCCACACUGGGACUGGGACACGGCCCAGACUCCUACGGGAGGCAGCAGUGGGGAAUAUUGGACGAUGGGCGAAAGCCUGAUCCAGCAAUGCCGCGUGAGUGAUGAAGGCCUUAGGGUUGUAAAGCUCUUUUACCCGGGAUGAUAAUGACGGUACCGGGAGAAUAAGCGCCGGCUAACUCCGUG